UACGUAGGGCGCAAGCGUUGUCCGGAAUUAUUGGGCGUAAAGAGCUCGUAGGCGGCCAGUUGCGUCCGCUGUGAAAUCCCGGGGCUUAACCCCGGGCGUGCAGUGGAUACGGGCUGGCUAGAGGCAGGCAGGGGAGAACGGAAUUCCCGGUGUAGCGGUGAAAUGCGCAGAUAUCGGGAGGAACACCGGUGGCGAAGGCGGUUCUCUGGGCCUGUACUGACGCUGAGGAGCGAAAGUGUGGGUAGCAAACAGG
rnacentral:rRNA from 1 species